rnacentral:rRNA from 1 species
UAGGAGAAGCUGAGGAGCACGCCGCGUGAGUGAAGAAGGUUUUCGGAUCGUAAAACUCUGUUUGUAAGGGAAGAACACGUACGAGAGUAACUGCUCGUACCUUGACGGUACCUUAUUAGAAAGCCACGGCUAACUACGUGCCAGCAGCCGCGGUAAUACGUAGGUGGCAAGCGUUGUCCGGAAUUAUUGGGCGUAAAGCGCGCGCAGGCGGUUCUUUAAGUCUGAUGUGAAAGCCCACGGCUCAACCGUGGAAGUGCAUUGGAAACUGGAGAACUUGAGUACAGAAGAGGAAAGUGGAAUUCCACGUGUAGCGGUGAAAUGCGUAGAGAUGUGGAGGAACACCGAUGGCGAAGGCGGCUUUCUGGUCUGUAACUGACGCUCAUGCACGAAAGCGUGGGGAGCAAACAGGAUUAGAUACCCUGGUAGUCCACGCCGUAAACGAUGACUGCUAAGUGUUAGGGGUUUUCCGCCCCGUUA